rnacentral:rRNA from 1 species
UGAAUACGAGACGCUAAGGCGUUGAAGUAGUGUAUGUCAUACUUCCAAGGAAAGCUUGCACUGUCAUAGAUAAAAAACGCCUGUACCAUAACCGACACAGGUGGGUAGGUAGAGUAUACUAAGGGGCGCGAGAUAACUCUCUCUAAGGAACUCGGCAAAAUAACUCCGUAACUUCGGGAGAAGGAGUGCCUUAUUUAUAAGGCUGCAAUAACAAGAUCCAAGCAACUGUUUAUCAAAAACACAGGUCUCCGCUAAGUCGUAAGACGAUGUAUGGGGGCUGACGCCUGCCCAGUGCCAGAAGGUUAAAGAAGUUGGUUAGCAAUAGCGAAGCUGAUAACUGAAGCCCUGGUGAACGGCGGCCGUAACGAUAACGGUCCUAAGGUAGCGAAAUUCCUUGUCGGGUAAGUUCCGACCCGCACGAAAGGCGUAAUGAUUUGGAUACUGUCUCGGAGAGGGGCUCGGUGAAAUAGACUUGUCUGUGAAGAUGCGGACUACCUGCACCAGGACAGAAAGACCCUAUGAAGCUUUACUGUAACUUGAAAUUGAAAUUGGACUUUAUUCGCGCAGUAUAGGUGGGAGGCGUUGAUUGUAAUCUUGCGGGAUUAUUGGAGCCAUCAGUGAGAUACCACCCUUGUAAUGUUAGAUUUCUAACUUUGAAUCAUUAUCUGGUCAAAGAACAGUUUCAGGCGGGCAGUUUGACUGGGGCGGUCGCCUCCUAAACGGUAACGGAGGCGUACAAAGGUUUCCUCUGAACGGUUAGAAAUCGUAUCUAGAGUGUAAAGGCAUAAGGAAGCUUGACUGUGAGACCUACAAGUCGAGCAGGGACGAAAGUCGGUCUUAGUGAUCUGACGGUACUGAGUGGAAAGGCCGUCACUCAACGGAUAAAAGUUACUCUAAGGAUAACAGGCUGAUCUCCCCCAAGAGUUCACAUCGACGGGGAGGUUUGGCACCUCGAUGUCGGCUCAUCGCAUCCUGGGGCGGUAGUACGUCCCAAGGGUUGGGCUGUUCGCCCAUGAAAGCGGUACGCGAGCUGGGUUCAGAACGUCGUGAGACAGUUCGGUCCAUAUCCGGUGUAGGCGUUAGAAUAUUGAGAGGAGCCUUCUUUAGUACGAGAGGACCGAGAAGGACAUACCUCUGGUGUACCAGUUAUCGUGCCAACGGUAAACGCUGGGUAGCUAUGUAUGGAGUGGAUAACCGCUGAAAGCAUCUAAGUGGGAAGCCCACCUCAAGAUAAGUAUUCUCAUC